CGCUGAAAUUCUAGGUCAAGUUUUGUAUCCAAAGUACAGGUGUCUGGAGUGAGGUGCCACAGCUUUCAUCCGAUUAACAGCUGCGUGACCCGUCCCCCCCCCCAAACCGUGAAGGUGUAUGGAUUAAAUCAGGGGUUCCCAAACUUUGCAAUGCAUUAAAUCACCAAGGGAGGUUUUUUGUUUGUUUGUUUGUUUGUUUGUUUGUUUGUUUUUAAAUCGCAAUGCCCCAAGUAGUAUCCAGCACCAAUUAAUUCGGUGAAGUGGGACUCAGGCAUCAAUAGUUUUAAAGUUCCCACGUGAUUCCAAAGCUCAGGAAAGUGUGGGAACCACUGCUUAGACUGUUGGUGACCCUCACCACACUGUUCUCUUUCAUUCCAUUUUUCAGCAUGGUUGCUCAUCUGUCUUAAAUAAAGUGGUGGGUGUCACAGCCUCUAGCCCAGGUCUGGCUCUCAGUAGUGCUCACUACAGGGUUAUUCAGGAAGGCAGCAAAGGCAGAAUCCAGGAUGGGCCGUCUAACUUGCAGCCUUCUCUUUGUUGUUUCUGGAAUUCUCCACAGACUGAAAUACCCCUGACCUCAUGGAAAUGGCCUCAUGUAAUGCCUGAAGCUGGGGGAAAUGGCUCAUUGCAGCUUGAAGAGACCUCUGUCUUUUAGAUUCCUCCAAAAGUCUCAGCCCCCCACCUGCCUCACUGUGACUCAAAGGUCCUGUGCUAGCAGUGUGGGUGUGUCUUCUCUCUCUGAGGUCCAAAUGGAACGUGUCCUUGGGAACCCCUGUUGUUAAAGCCCACGCUUGGAUUCUUUGUAUUUUGUGGAGGUUGUUUAACCCUUUCCUCAAAGUGUUAGUGGACGGAGAUUUGAAGAGCGAGAAUUUCCUGAAGACAUCUUGGAGAAUUCCUUAAAUAUUGUAAUAUCGGGGUGAGAAUCACUUAUCGAAGCUGUGAAUAGGAGAAGACCAGCCAUUUCCUGAUUUAAAUAUGGCAAAGACUACUCAGUUUUCUCUCCAUAUCUGGUUUCUCUGUGUCAUAGACUAUUAUCUUCUGUAUCAGGCCUGGAAAAGCAGAUGUGGCCAAGAUAUCAACACUAAGAAGUUCUUUGGCUGCUGACAUUAGCCAGUGGAAAUCUUUAAUUAUAUAUUCAAACAACUCUUGGUUUUUUUUCUGAAGGCCAUCGAUACCUUGGGGCUUGCAAUGUUUGUUUUCUAAAGUGAGGGCGUCUAUGGGGCGCCUGGGUGGUGCAGUUGGUUAAGCGUCCGACUUCA